rnacentral:tRNA from 2 species
AUUUUUUUAGUAUAAAAAGUACAGGUGACUUCCAAUCACCUAGCCUUGGUUCAACCCCAGGAAAAAAUA